rnacentral:rRNA from 1 species
AACGAACGCUGGCGGCAGGCUUAACACAUGCGAGUCGAACGCAUGCCUUCGGGCAUGAGUGGCAGACGGGUGCGUAACGCGGGGGAACCUACCCCUUGGUACGGGAUAGCUCCGGGAAACUGGAGAUAAUACCGUAUGUGUCCUGAGGGACAAAGAUUCAUCGCCAAGGGAUGGGCCCGCGUCGGAUUAGCUAGUUGGUGGGGUAACGGCCUACCAAGGCGACGAUCCGUAGCUGGUCUAAGAGGAUGAUCAGCCACAUUGGGACUGAGACACGGCCCAAACUCCUACGGGAGGCAGCAGUGGGGAAUAUUGGACAAUGGGCGCAAGCCUGAUCCAGCCAUGCCGCGUGAGUGAUGAAGGCCCUAGGGUUGUAAAGCUCUUUCACCGGUGACGAUAAUGACGGUAACCGGAGAAGAAGCCCCGGCUAACUUCGU